UACGGGGGGGGCAAGCGUUGUUCGGAAUUACUGGGCGUAAAGGGCUCGUAGGCGGCCAACUAAGUCCGACGUGAAAUCCCAAGGCUUAACCUUGGAACUGCGUCGGAUACUGGAUGGCUUGAAUUCGGGAGAGGGAUGCAGAAUUCCAGGUGUAGCGGUGAAAUGCGUAGAUAUCGAGAGGAACACCUGCGGCGAAGGCGGGUUGCUGGGCUGACACUGACGCUGAUGCGCGAAAGCUAGGGGAGCGAACGGG
rnacentral:rRNA from 1 species